rnacentral:lncRNA from 1 species
GUACCUUGAUUUCUUGAUGGCUGACUAUGAGUACUGAAAACUCCAACCCGGCCGGCAGCUCGUAAUGCCGUGUGCCUCUCCUUACAGAGUUAAGCUCAGCCAGGCCUGCCCGAGAGAAACCCUAAACCGGCGCCACAUUCCUGCAGGAACUCUGCCACAGUCUCAGCUCAAACUGGCCUCCAGAUGAACAAGGUGAGGAGACAGAGAAGGCCAAACCCAUGAGGAAGAAGCUCUUGGCAGACAUGGAAUCUACUGGCACCUUAUUCUUGGAUUCUCAAGCCUCCUAAACACUGGAGCUGCCUAAUGCUGGCAUUCUCAGGCUGGACAGCAGAAGACAUCAUGGGAGGCUGAGCCAGGCCUCCCUCAGUGUGCUUGCUCCC